UGGGAUUGGAAAAGAAUCUACAUAGAAGCUAAGGAUCUGAAAGUAUCAGCAUCAGUAAAGGAAACUUGAACCCUUGGAAUGUCUUUGUGUACCCUCUGGUGUGUUUAUGCCCAACCUUGUGUGAAGACCAUGCUCCAUGCCACACUGUUGACUUGGCAGUCCAGUUAAAACGAAUCAACAGAAACUAUGUGAAUGCUGUUGCAACUGCAAGCCAUAUUACGUAAUCUCCUAUUUCACCCUAAAACAGAAAAAAACACAGUCGAGCCCCUUUCCUGGGGAGAUGGUAACCAUAUUCUGUUCAUAACCCUCAUGUGAAUCCACUGCCCAUUGGUGAUGAAAGUGAAUAGAGAGAACCUGGGAUCACUUCCGAGGCCCUGAGACCACAGCACUGGUUUGGAUUGUUACUCUGGACACGGAUGAGAAAAGUGCACGGGACAUCAAGCUCACCUUCUUUACUUGUAUCAAAUGAUGACCAGUGUACUGAUCUUCCAUUCCUUUGCUUGUGGAAGAAGAUUGGCAUAAAUAAAUUAACUAACUAACUUAGAUUGGUCGCAGGAAAGAAAAGCCCAAGAAACCAACCAAACAAAAAACCCAGUAGAGAGCCAGCUGGUAGGGGACUAGCUGUGUUUCCAAUUUGCUUCACUUGAAUAUUUUUAAGCUUCCCUAGGCCUUACUGUCUUCAUCUAUAAUAUGAGG